UACAGAGGUGGCAAGCGUUGUUCGGAAUUACUGGGCGUAAAGGGCGCGUAGGCGGCCUCCUAAGUCAGACGUGAAAUCCCCCGGCUUAACCUGGGAACUGCGUCUGAUACUGGGAGGCUAGAGUGCGGGAGAGGGAUGCGGAAUUCCAGGUGUAGCGGUGAAAUGCGUAGAUAUCUGGAGGAACACCGGUGGCGAAGGCGGCAUCCUGGACCGACACUGACGCUGAGGAGCGAAAGCGUGGGGAGCGAACAGG
rnacentral:rRNA from 1 species